GCCGGAGUGGCGAAACUGGCAGACGCGCGAGACUCAAAAUCUCGUUAGGUUUACCCCUAGUGUCGGUUCGAUUCCGACCUCCGGCACCA
rnacentral:tRNA from 1 species